rnacentral:tRNA from 1 species
UCGCCGAGGCGGUGGAGGCCAUCCACGCUCGCGGCGUGGUCUACGGCGACCUGCACAUGUUCAACAUCAUGGUCGGCGAG